rnacentral:lncRNA from 1 species
AGUAGCGUGCGGAAGUGCUGGCUUGUGCCAGGUUAGCCGGCGGAAGGGAGGAGCUGCGCGUACCACAUCAGGUUUUUGGCUGGAGUGUGAGCAGUAAUCCCAAGAGCUGGAUAUUGACACCGUGAAACAGGGAUAAAAGGAGAGUGAAGAUGAAGCCAGACAUGCCCCUGUUGCCCAGGCAAAGAGAGCCAGCACCACGUAACCAGACAGCUGUAAACCUUCAACUGCAGGCCACUGACAGGAAUCUAUAGACCAUCAGUUUGGGAAUCCUCUGCUUUAGACCUUUAAAUGUGUCAACAUUUAUAUGAGCUCUGUACAGAACAGGAUCGCAGAAGGAAGCUGUGGGCACCCUUGGAAAAUCUGAGCUGCUUGUGAAGCUGUAGACACUGCAUGUUUAUGGACUUGGUUUUCUAAGCGAUCUCCAAAGCUUGAACGGAUUACAGUGAUAUUUUAACAAGGCUGCUGGCAUCCAUCACUAGCUUUCACUUACUGAGAAAGCUAAAAGAUGGAAGAGUGUAAUUAUUUCCACGUAAGCUAAAUUCUAGUGGCUGAUUAUCACGAGGACAUUAACACUUUAAACUUCUUAAUCUCCUCUAAGCCAAACAGGUAAGUCUUACAGGCUUCUCUUCUAGCUUUCAUUUUGGUAAGGGAGUGGGGGCUCGCAGGGGACUGGUGGUGAAGGGGAAUGUGUUAGGUACGGAGGCAAACUGAGUUUCUUAAAUGGUAUAUAUGCAGUAGCACUUGCAUGUUGUCAUUUUCUGUCAGGUUAUAAAUCUACUGCUUGUAGGCUAAAAAAUUUCCAUGGCAAUAUUGUUG